UUCUUCCUAUUAAGCUCACUAAUUCAUGAAUAUACUGUUUAAUGAACUUUGCUGUCUCUACUCUAGAUUUCUUUCUUCCUUUAUGAAUCUAUUGAUUUCUACCGGGCUAAAUAACAUAAAUGGCAUAAACAAAUAUUCGGCAAACAUCCACCCUACUGUUUAACAAAACCCAAGUAAACCAAUCCAUAAACUCAAAUUGUAACAAUUCUUGUGACCAGACAUAAUCUAAAUUUUUCCAUAUCUCUUUUGUAAUAGAACAAUCAUAAAAAAUGUGUUCCCUUGUUUCCAACCUUUGCAUACAUCUUGGGUAGACAGCCUCAGUAGUCAAUCUUUUUGUUCGAAGAUUCACUAAAGUAGGAAGAUAACUAAAUGUAGUUUUCCAAGCUGUAAUUUUUAUUUUAAAAGGAAGAUUUAGGUUCCAAAGUUUCUUGUAACAUGUUGUAUUGUCAAUUGGGUUGUAAUUAUUUGGGUUAUUGAAAUUACCUUGUAAAAGUAACUUAUAGACACUGAACACCGUGAAUUCACCCAUCAACUCACCCCUCCACACCAUAAAAUCAUCAUAAGGAAAUUUGGCUAAAGGUAUUCGCAAGAUCUUCCGUGCAUCACUAUCAGCAAAGCUUUCGGAACCCAAACAUCAUCCUCAAUUUUGAUGUCUUUGCCAGUCCCCACCUCUAACAAAGUCCAGACAAUAGAAGACCUUUCGUAGCCCAUAUACUUUUCCAAGUAUAUGAAGGUUUGGACAUUGGUGCUAGGGAGAAGCAAGGAAAUCCUAAAGUUGAUGAUGGAUUCAAGGCUCCAAAAGAAAAAAUCACUUGCAUUGCGGCAUCUGUUGAUGUGGAUGAGGAGUUUGAAUCUUCUGGAGUUGAAGAAACUAGGAGUAGUACUGUUACAACUAGGAGUUUGAAUCUUUUGAAAUAUCUUUAAAAUUAAGGAACUAUACUAAAUACGGUCACAAAACUUAUGGAGGACAGUUAUAAGGGUUGGGGUUUAAGGGUUAGGGGUUAAGGGUUUACGGUUUAUGUUUUACGAUUUAGGAUUUAGCGGAUAGAGAUUAGGGGUUUAGGGUUUACAUUAAUUAGUGUUUUUUAAUUUAUAUAUUAAAUAAUUUAUUACAUAAUUGUAAAAGAGAUAAUAUUAAUUUUAAUAUAUUAAAAUUAUGAUUAUAGUUUAAA